rnacentral:lncRNA from 1 species
CAUAUGUAGUUCUUUAUUAAAUCUAUAAAAAGACUUACAUUUAGGAACGGAGGGAGUACAUGUAGGAUCUCAUGGGUCCGAUUCAGUGAAGCAAAAUGCGUCAGUUUUUUCUUUUAAGAUAGCAUCUUGGCCUCUAUAUCAGUUGAUGCAAACAUCACUGCAUGGAUUAUCGCACAGUUUGCAGGAUUCAAGCGUGAGAAGGUGUGGUUUUUUAGUUUCUACUGUGACGGCUCCAUAAUGAUUGUUGAACAUAUAGUUUGCAUUUAUAUGUGUAUGGUCCGGCCUAUCUCCUAGGCUUUGUAUAAUCGAGG